UGGGGUGUGGUGUAAUGGCAACACGACUGGUUCUGGUCCAGUUUACAGGGGUUCGACUCCUCUCACCCCAGCCA
rnacentral:tRNA from 1 species